AUUGAACGCUGGCGGCAUGCCUUACACAUGCAAGUCGAACGGUAACAGGUCUUCGGAUGCUGACGAGUGGCGAACGGGUGAGUAAUACAUCGGAACGUGCCCAGGCGUGGGGGAUAACGAGGCGAAAGCUUUGCUAAUACCGCAUACGAUCUAAGGAUGAAAGCAGGGGACCGCAAGGCCUUGCGCGUUUGGAGCGGCCGAUGGCAGAUUAGGUAGUUGGUGGGAUAAAAGCUUACCAAGCCGACGAUCUGUAGCUGGUCUGAGAGGACGACCAGCCACACUGGGACUGAGACACGGCCCAGACUCCUACGGGAGGCAGCAGUGGGGAAUUUUGGACAAUGGGCGAAAGCCUGAUCCAGCAAUGCCGCGUGCAGGAUGAAGGCCUUCGGGUUGUAAACUGCUUUUGUACGGAACGAAAAGGCUCUGGUUAAUACCUGGGGCACAUGACGGUACCGUAAGAAUAAGCACCGGCUAACUACGUGCCAGCAGCCGCGGUAAUACGUAGGGUGCGAGCGUUAAUCGGAAUUACUGGGCGUAAAGCGUGCGCAGGCGGUUUUGUAAGACAGAGGUGAAAUCCCCGGGCUCAACCUGGGAACUGCCUUUGUGACUGCAAAGCUGGAGUGCGGCAGAGGGGGAUGGAAUUCCGCGUGUAGCAGUGAAAUGCGUAGAUAUGCGGAGGAACACCGAUGGCGAAGGCAAUCCCCUGGGCCUGCACUGACGCUCAUGCACGAAAGCGUGGGGAGCAAACAGG
rnacentral:rRNA from 1 species